GUCAAUAUGUUCAAUCAGGACUUUGACUACAUUAUUAGCAGUUGCCCCAGGUAGUUGGAAUUGUUUCUACCCAAUGAGUGAGAUGAUCUACGAUUACAAGAAGGUAUUUGAGCCACGAAUUUUGGGCAUUUCUGUGUAGUCAAUUUGAAUGCUUUGGAAUGGCCGUAACCCAGGUCUCCUUCCUCUGGAGGGCGCCUGUCCUAGAGCUUGCUAGAGUUUUCCGGCAUGUUGAGCAUCCCGCAGACGUUUGUUUGGCUCACAUGUAGGUCCCUGUGCAACCACAAAUGCGGAGAAUCGCGUCACACGUUGCUUGGGGACUCCAGUGGCUCCUCUGGUGGAGCUGGGUUGAAAUUUCUCUCAUUAUCGGUUCAGACAGCAUUUCCCUUCCAUCGGGCAAUAGCCACCUUCCCUCUGAAUCUCCUUCUGCCCCAACUGUCCUUGGGUCUUUUCUGCUGGGGUGAAAAUGGGGGUUGCAGCAGGGACAGGGGAUGUGGCGUUAAAGGGAAUGUUGGUGUUUCUGAGGAGAGAGCAGCCUGCUCAGCUACUUCGUCUGCUAAGUCACUUCCCUGCUGUCAAAGGAGGACCCUUUUGAUGUCCUGGAACAUGAACUACCGCUCUUUCUUCUGGUAACGUUAGACUUUCUAAAAUUUGGGUUAUUAACUGUUUACAUAUUAAGUCUCUCCCUUUACUGUUAAUUAACCCUCAUUCCAUCCAGAUUUUUUCCAAAGGUAUGAACUCCUCCAAAGGCAUAUUUAGUCUGUGUGGAUGGUCCCUUCUUUGUCAAGAACUGUAAGGCUUGGUUGAGGGCCUUAAAUUCACAAGUCUGGGCUGACCACCCGUUUGGGAGUCUUCCUGGUUCUCUUACGGUUAAUUGAAGUCCGUCUACCACGGAAUACCCAUGACACCUCUCUCCCUUUACAUUCGUGAAGACCCAUCUACAGAGGUCCCGAGUGGUUCCCUUCCAGACGAGUUUGUCCACAUCAUGAGCUGGAUUCCACAAAUGGAACCUCUCUCCCUCCAGCCGCUGCCGAUGGGGGUCCCACCGUGACAGACAGGACGGAUCUGCCAAUCGAUGACCUCCCCUGGCUGAAGCUUGCGUCUCUCUCUCCUCACACCCCGUCUCUAAUUUCAAAUACACAAGGGGACAUGUGGGGGGUGGGCCUAGGAGAAAGGAUGGAUGGAGGGAAGGACGUGAGCAAGUGCAUGAAGGGUCCGGUGUUCGGCUCUGAACACCUGCUGGGAGCUGCGUGUUUGCUGGGUGCAAAAGUCGGCUGAAAACAGCUUACCUGUGUGGAAGUUGUUAAAUUAGCAAAGGGCUCUGACCCUUGGAAACAAAUACAGGGAGGAAUUUAGCUGGGGGGGCCGUUUUCUCCUUCAGAUUUUGGUCUCUCCCCUGCUCUCCACACUAUGUUUGGAGUAAUCAUUCCUUCCUUUGCGACGCAGCUCAGGAGCGAAAAGCAGCCGCAACUCCAGGGGCCAAGACUCUGUCCCGAGCUGGGAGGACCGUGGGCAGGACCGGCGGGCACCGGCCGGAGCUCUGUCCCCUCCUUCUCGGGAAGCUCCCGCUGGGGCUCCCCGCUCGCCACUCUGGGCCCCGGGCGGGGCUGCUCCCUCGACCGCUCCCGGCGCUGCCCCACCCCGGCUCCACCUCCGAACCCCUCUGGGGACACCCGCCCGGUCGCCGGGGCCAGCCUGGAGGGGCGGGGAGGGCGCGUGAGGCCACGC